rnacentral:tRNA from 1 species
AGAGCAUAGCUUAUUGGUAGAGUACAUGCUUAGCAUGCAUGAGAUCCUAGGUUCAGUCCCCAGUAUCUCUG